rnacentral:lncRNA from 1 species
GGGGGAGGACAGGGGUAAGGGAGACGGGGAGAAAGGGGGUAGGAGAAAGGAGAAAGGGGGUGGGAGAAAGGAGAAAGGGGGUAGGAGAAAGGAGAAGAAGGCUGGGAGAAAGGAGAAAAAGUUGGAGAAAGGAGAAAAAAUAAAAUAUCUCUCCUUUUAAAAUUUUUUUCUAAUAUUUCAAGAAAAAAAUAUCUCAAAAGGAGAUGUUUUAUUCUAAUGGGAGAAAGGAGAACGGGGGUAGGAGAAAGGAGAAGAGGGGUUGGAGAAGGGAGAAGGGUACCACCCUGUCCUCCC